ACGAUAACGAACGAGACCUUAACCUGCUAAAUAGUCACGUGAACUUUGGUUCACGGCCGACUUCUUAGAGGGACUAUUGACGUUUAGUCAAUGGAAGUUUGAGGCAAUAACAGGUCUGUGAUGCCCUUAGAUGUUCUGGGCUGCACGCGCGCUACACUGAUGAAGCCAGCGAGUUUACAACCUUGGCCGGAAGGUCUGGGUAAUCUUGUGAAACUUCAUCGUGCUGGGGAUAGACCAUUGCAAUUAUUGGUCUUCAACGAGGAAUUCCUAGUAAGCGUGAGUCAUCAGCUCACGUUGAUUACGUCCCUGCCCUUUGUACACACCGCCCGUCGCUAAUACCGAUUGAAUGGAUCA
rnacentral:rRNA from 1 species